GGAGAAUGUUAUCACGGGAGACACACGGCGGGUGCUAACGUCCGUCGUGAAGAGGGAAACAACCCAGACCGCCAGCUAAGGUCCCAAAGUCAUGGUUAAGUGGGAAACGAUGUGGGAAGGCCCAGACAGCCAGGAUGUUGGCUUAGAAGCAGCCAUCAUUUAAAGAAAGCGUAAUAGCUCACUGGUCGAGUCGGCCUGCGCGGAAGAUGUAACGGGGCUAAACCAUGCACCGAAGCUGCGGCAGCGACACUAUGUGUUGUUGGGUAGGGGAGCG
rnacentral:rRNA from 1 species